GUCAGUAUGGCACAGUGGUCUGAGCUCGAGGCUAUGAUGCUGGAGAUUGGAGUUCAAUUCUCCACUCAGUCA